GCUUCAGCAGCAUUCCCCUAAGUGGGAAUGACACAGAGUAGAUUAGCAUGGCCCCUGUACAAAGAUGACAUGCAAAUUUGUCAAGCAUUCCAUAUUUUU
rnacentral:snRNA from 1 species